GGGGACGAAACUGGUUUCGACGGGAGUAUGGAGUAAGGAGUAGCGAGUCGUUGUCGCCAAACAACGUAAAAAGUGGCACUUAAAUUUAAACGCAGACGAUAAUUUAGCAUUAGCAGCGUAAUUUAAACGCUGUCGCUCUACCUAGUAGUCCCACCUACUAGAAUAGAGUGUCAUUUAUAGUGGGGAACUGCUAUAGGCCUUCUCCAACCUAUAGUGGACUUUGGAGAUAGCUAGAUAUAAAGCUUGCUAUUGGGCGUUAUAUUUAGCGAAUACUAAAUCAAUAGCUGCACUCGGAGAAACUCCUUAUAAAGUACUUUCGGACGUGGGUUCGACUCCCACCGUCUCCACCA
rnacentral:tmRNA from 1 species